AAUCAGGUGAUUCCAGUUUCCCAGUUUGGGAAUAGCACAGCUUCUUCAUCGUUCCAAUCAAACCAUGAUGAAUCACUUUGUGAAAAGCUUGAUUUGGAUACAUAAAGUGGUGGAGAAUCACCAGGAAGUUUAAUAAACCCAUAGGAGUUGGGAUGAAGAAGUUAUCCCACUUUCAUUGUAGAUUUCGUUAAUCCCAUAUAUAGCUAGGGGAUAAUAAUUAUCGAUUUAGUUUAGCAUUGAGCAAGA
rnacentral:lncRNA from 1 species